UAGCGUAGGGUCCGAGCGUUGUUCCGGAAUUAUUGGGGCGUAAAGGGGCGCGUAGGCGGUUCGGCAAGUCUCUAGUGAAAUCUCAGGGCUCAACUCUGAGUCUGCUGGGGGAAACUGCCGGGCUUGAGUGUGGGAGAGGAGAGUGGAAUUCCCGGUGAUAGCGGUGAAAGUGACGUGAGAGAGUCGGGAGGAACAUCAGUGGCGAAGGCGGCCAUCUG
rnacentral:rRNA from 1 species